rnacentral:tRNA from 1 species
GGUAAGAUGGCCGAGUGGUUUAAGGCGGCAGAUUUAAGCUCUGCUGGGGGGAACCUCUCGUGGGUUCGAAUCCCACUCUUAUCA